rnacentral:rRNA from 1 species
GACGAACGCUGGCGGCGUGCUUAACACAUGCAAGUCGAACGGAAAGGCCCUGCUUUUGUGGGGUGCUCGAGUGGCGAACGGGUGAGUAACACGUGAGUAACCUGCCCUUGACUUUGGGAUAACUUCAGGAAACUGGGGCUAAUACCGGAUAGGAGCUCCUGCUGCAUGGGGGGGGUUGGAAAGUUUCGGCGGUUGGGGAUGGACUCGCGGCUUAUCAGCUUGUUGGUGGGGUGGUGGCUUACCAAGGCUUUGACGGGUCGCCGGCCUGAGCGGGUGACCGGCCACACUGGGACUGCGAUACGGCCCAGACUCCUACGGGAGGCAGGAGUGGGGAAUAUUGCACAAUGGGAGGAAGCCUGAUGCAGCAACGCCGCGUGCGGGAUGACGGCCUUCGGGUUGUAAACCGCUUUCGCCUGUGACGAAGCGUGAGUGACGGUAAUGGGUAAAGAAGCACCGGCUAACUACGUG